UAAGCCCUAUGCGGUUCAUAUGUCCUCAAAAAUGUUGGUUAAAUUAAUUCAUAAGGUUGGUUUCAGUCCAAAUUGCUAAAUAUUUGCUGCAAUUGAUCAUUUCUUUCACCUAACAUUUAGUUUUAUUUGGAGGAGUCUUUGACCAUCCGGUAACAUGGAGUUUUUUGAAAAGCCAACACCUGGACGUAAAUGUUUGGGAGCAAUCUGUCGGGUCUCCUUCAACAAAUUAAUUAACUCAGUUGUUUUUAAUCCCUGAUAUCAAAAGACACUAAGGCACGYGACCGCACGUCUUUACGCAGCGGAGAAAUAAGCAUUCACACACAAACACACAAAAUCAGCCGCUUAAUUGCAGGUUUAAAGAAAGGCUCUGCAGCACGCGCACGCGGAGCGGGUGCUGCUCCUUUAUUUCCACCUGUUCACAGUUCCACACGCGCUUACCGCCCUUUGAUGUUGCUGUUUAUCUGCCCGCGCGCCGCCAAAAAGAGAGAGAGCGAGUGAGCUUUUACGCACGGAGCGCUCGCGCGGAGCAGCCUCACAUGACACCGCCGCAGCUAAGCUCAGAGCAGGCUCCGGCUGGCCGCCUUCAGCCGCCGCUCAAUGAAUGGAUUACCCGCACAUUCGCUUCACGUCACGGAUGAUUGUUCCCCCUCAUCAGCCGGCCGUCGCUGCGAUUCCACGGUCGCCUCGCCAGGACUUGCGGACACUACCAUGCGGCGGGGGGCGCUGGUCUGAGAGCGGCUGAAGAUUGAGUGGACGCGCGGCUGGCCGUCUGGAGAGCUCUCCGCGAAGUCAUGGUGUCCACGGCACCGUGAGAAGUUUCUCCCCGUCGCUUCGCUCCCCUCCUGUUUUUUCCUCGGUUUUAGAUGUUCAUCAGCGGCUCGUGCUUCCUCGGAAAUUUCUCCACCGUUUCCCCCGUUAAUUAUGUUCACUUUUGCUGCUUUCUGCUACAUGCUGUCUCUGGUCCUCUGUGUUUCCCUUAUCUUCUUCGCAAUAUGGCACAUAACGGCUUUUGACGAGCUCCAGGCUGACUUUAAGGUGCCGAUCGAUCAAGGCAAUCCMCUCCAUGCGAGGGAGCGACUCAGAAACAUCGAGAGGAUCUGCAACCUGCUGAGGAAGUUGGUGCUGCCAGAGUACUCCAUCCAUGGRCUGUUCUGCAUAAUGUUCCUGUGUGCCCAGGAGUGGCUGACUGUGGGCCUUAACAUCCCCCUCCUCUUCUACAACACCUGGAGCAGGUACUUCCAUUCCCCAACGGACACUAAGGAGCUGAUCUACGACCCGGCAUCUGUGAUGAACGGCGACACGCUCAAGUUCUGCCAGAAGGAGGCCUGGUGCAAGCUGUCCUUCUUCGUCCUGUCCUUCUUCUACUAUCUCUACUGUGUGUGGAACCUGGAAAUAUCCCUCUAUUAGGUCUUAUCAGUGGAAACACUUAAAGGUACAAUCCUUACUUUUUCUUAAACACUGUAUUCUGUAGGGCUUAUUUCAGGCUUUAGAGAGAAAUAAUAUUCAGAAGGGAAUUUUGACUCUGUCCUGAAGUCAGGGUUGUGGUUUUCAGAAAUGUAUGUAAAAUUUCUUUGGAUGAUAACAUUUUUGACAUAGUAGCUCUGAAGUGGUUCUUCUUGAUGAUGAAAUAAGCAAAAGUGAACCAAAAGUAUACAGUUGAAACCAAAUAUUUCCAUGCAGAAUCAGAAAAUCUAGUUCGAAUUACCAAAAUGAUUUAUAUUCAAUAAAUGCCAGAGGAGGUGUGCGACCAAAAUGGCCUGUAUGCCAAUACUGCGUGGAGGAAACUUCCAGAAAGCAAUUUGUGAAGCUUGAUGACUGACAGACGCUUUAAAUUUUGAAAAAAGCUAAAAAGAAGAAAAUUCUCCUUCUCAUUAUUCUGACAUUUAUUAAAUAGAAAUCAUCUGGUAAUGCUGACUGAAAAGAGAAAAAAAUACUUAUUGUAGUUUAAUGUCAGAACAUGUGUCUGCUUUACGGUUUGUUGUAAUUCAAUGCUUCUAAAGUCUUGAUAUUAAUCAAAUUUCAUUAAGUUAAUGAAAAUAAGGUUAAGGUGAAAGCUAUAGUGUUCCCUCCUGGCAGAAAUCUGAGAAACUGACUUCAAUAAGCUAACGUGUUGAGCUCAUUUGUUUCACAUCCAUUUCCAUACCAGUGCCGACAUUGAUCAAUAGAGCAGCUUCUGUUGAAACCAACAUAACACCCCAUCCUGCUAGCGGACGCUAAAUGAUCGAGUGCGGCAGUAUGUUAGAUAUUUCUGCAGCUAAUGUGCGAACACUCUGAGGCAACACCGUCAGCGUGAAGCCAAGUCACAGUGUGGUUGGUGUUUGUGUCGUGGCACUGGGUGUCAUCAACUAUGAAUGCAGCGCUCAGCUUGAACUGAAAUCAUCUUGCUUCUUCCAUCUCACCCCAUCGUCCUGCCCAGCUCUUGCUCACGUCGGACUGUUUUAGAGAUCAACCAAGGUGGCGGCGGCAUCAGUCAGUAUGAUCUAUUCCUUGGUUACCUCAUAACAACUGCUUUGUUAGCAUCUGGGGUCCAGCACCGAUGGCUCCAGACAUCCAGUACAGCAGGUGGCGCUGUGGUGGAAGCGAUAAUUGAACGUAAUGAUGAAGACUUAAAACUUUCUGGGUUCUUUUUUUUUUUCUUUUUGCUGCGGAGCCAAAUGAUGAACUCAGCUGGAGCUGAAGCCUCUUUUCAGCUUGGCCCAGCCCAGAACUGUUUCAUCUCUGACUGUAUAUAGAAACUUUGGACUAAACCUGCUGUUUACAGUUUGCUCAUAGCAAGAGUUAUUACACUGCCUGGCCAACGUUUGUAAUACACACGCGCGUAUAUUUAAAGGUACAUCCAGCUAGCUUGUGCUGCCAGCUGGCUGCACAGCGGCGCUAACGCUAGCCUGGAGGACGGACAGCACAGUAGCGUUUGCACAGUUUGUCUCAGGCACAGCACAAUGAAGCACUGUCCAGACCCGUCUUCACCCGUCGUAGCGCCUUGUGAGUCGAAGGACAGGCUGGCGAGCAAACGGGUCACACUGUUCGGAGAGGAGGAGCGGGCUCGAGGCGGGGCCGCGCGCUGGAGCGCCCACCCCACCGAGAACACACACAGUCCCCGGGGGGCCGUGGGAUCCUCUUUCUGACUUUCCAUCAAUGGCUUUUGUGACGUGUGCAUUUUGGUGUAUUCUUUAAUCAAAAGGAGUUUCUGUUUCCUUAACGGCAAAAGGUAUUCUACUCAGCAAAUGCCUCCUUAGUGUUGUCUUAUAGUGUUGUUCUUUUGUGGGAAAACUUCAACUAAAAAAAACCAGAAGCCGUGGAAAGCUUUUGUAGUAGAGGAGCACACGAUCUUUGCACAAAUACUCAACUCGCUCUCGCACAAAUACCGGCAAUAUCUGCCUGAGGCGGUAGGGAUGGCUUCAUGUUCCGGCUUCACAGGUGAAGGUCUUCCAACGUGUACGGCCCGAGCAGCCCGCCUCGUCUGAACGCAGGGAAACAACGUGAAUCUUUUCUAGCUCUCUCGGACCAAAAUGUUGUAUUAAAUUAUUUACGCAUAUGAAUUUAUGUCUAUUUAUGAGAUGCUGACAGUUUUAACAUUCUGCUCCAAAAGUAUCGCACAGAGUAUCAAGAAUAAAAUCAACUUUAGCAAAUAUUUCAGGGUAUAUGGAAGGUUUUUAGGAUCCCACGGAUAACUCUUCUGAUAAUCAUUCAAGUGAUUGAGAUUGGUUGGACCUCUUCGCAGGGCAGGUGUUUGAACCUGGACCUCCACGUGUAGCUUGCCCUCCGAGCCAGCAGGCCGCUCUUUAAACCUUCACCGCCGUCUUUACCUGCCAUGAGUUUCUGUGGUGGCGGAGCAGAAAGGAAUGCCCCCUUCUUCUUUUCUCUUCUUCUAACUUGAGCAUUUUAUAUCCUAAGUGUGGUAUGUAUGUGACCAAAAAGGUUGAAUUUAGAUAUUGUUUAUGAAAUAAAGUAUUUUAAAAUCUAA